CAGCAGCCACGGUAAUACGAAGGGUGCAAGCGUUAAUCGGAAUUACUGGGCGUAAAGCGUGCGUAGGCGGUGAGUUAAGUCUGCUGUGAAAUCCCCGGGCUCAACCUGGGAAUGGCAGUGGAUACUGGCUCGCUAGAGUGUGUCAGAGGAUGGUGGAAUUCCCGGUGUAGCGGUGAAAUGCGUAGAGAUCGGGGGGAACAUCAGUGGCGAAGGCGGCCAUCUGGGACAACACUGACGCUGAGGCACGAAAGCGUGGGGAGCAAACAGGAUUAGAUACCCCUGUAGUCCCUGUCUCUUAUAC
rnacentral:rRNA from 1 species